AGAUAAAUCAUUCAAGUUUCUGCCCUAUCAGCUUUCGAUGGUAGUGUAUUGGACUACCAUGGCAGUAACGGGUAACGAAGAAUUAGGGUUCGAUUUCGGAGAGGGAGCAUGAGAAACGGCUACCACAUCUAAGGAAGGCAGCAGGCGCGUAAAUUACCCAAUCCUGACUCAGGGAGGUAGUGACAAGAAAUAGCAAACCGGGAACCUCAUGGUUUCACGGUAUUGCAAUGAGAACAAUUUAAAACCCUUAGCGAGAAUCAAGUGGAGGACAAGUCUGGUGCCAGCACCCGCGGUAAUUCCAGCUCCACUAGCGUAUAUUAAAGUUGUUGCAGUUAAAAAGCUCGUAGUUGAACCUCUGUCUGGGGCUAGUUUUGGCUUUGGUCAGGCUAGUUCUAGGCAUCCGCCUACAAGACUUAGAGGGCAUUCAGUUGUUCACUAGGAGGAGUAGGCAUUUUACUUUGAAAAAAUUAGAGUGUUUAAGGCAGGCAAUCGCCCGCAUAUAUUAGCAUGGAAUAAUAGAAUAGGACACUUUUCCAUUUCGUUGGUUAUUGGAAUCGUGUAAUGAUUAAUAGGGACAGUUGUGGGCAUUUGUAUUUAAUUGUCAGAGGUGAAAUUCUUGGAUUUAUUAAAGACAAACUAACGCGAAAGCAUUUGCCAAGGAUGUUUUCAUUAAUCAAGAACGAAAGUUAGGGGAUCAAAGACGAUCAGAUACCGUCCUAGUCUUAACUAUAAACUAUUCCGACUCAAUGUUUGACUGGCUUAUAUAACCAGUUGAGCGUUGUAUGAGAAAUCAAAGUCUUUAGGUUCUGGGGGGAGUAUGGUUGCAAAGCUGAAACUUAAAGGAAUUGACGGAAGAGCACAACCAGGAGUGGAUUCUGCGGCUUAAUUUGACUCAACACGGGGAAACUUACCAGGUUAAAACAAUAGUGGGAUUGACAGUUUGAGAGCGCUUUCUUGAUUGGUUGGGUGGUGGUGCAUGGCCGUUCUUAGUUGGUGGAGUGAUUUGUCUGCUUAAUUGCGUUAACGAACGAGACCUUAACCUGCUUACUAGACUGGCGAUCAUCAAUCGUUAGCUCUUCUUAGAGGGACUUUGGUUGUUUUAACUCCAAGGAAGUUUGAGGCAAUAACAGGUCUGUGAUGCCCUUAGAUAUCCUGGGCCGCACGCGUCAUACAAUGACUAGUUCAGAAAGUUUUCUCCUGACCCGAAAGGGGAUGGGUAAUCUUGAUAAUACUAGUCGUGUUAGGGAUCGAUCUUUGCAAUUAAGAUCUUGAACGAGGAAUUCCUAGUAAGUGCGGUUCAUCAGACCGUACUGAUUACGUCCCUGCUCUUUGUACACACCGCCCGUCGCUUCUACCGAGUGGGUGGUCCGGUGAGA
rnacentral:rRNA from 1 species